UAUCGGAACGUACCCUGGAGUGGGGAUAACGUAGCGAAAGUUACGCUAAUACCGCAUACGAUCUAAGGAUGAAAGUGGGGGAUGCGCAAGCACCUCAUGCUCCUGGAGCGGCCGAUAUCUGAUUAGCUAGUUGGUGGGGUAAAGGCCUACCAAGGCAUCGAUCAGUAGCUGGUCUGAGAGGACGACCAGCCACACUGGAACUGAGACACGGUCCAG
rnacentral:rRNA from 1 species